GAAAUGCGAUAAGUAAUGUGAAUUGCAGAAUUCCGUGAAUCAUCGAAUCUUUGAACGCACAUUGCGCCCUCUGGUAUUCCGGGGGGCAUGCCUGUCCGAGCGUCAUUGCGAACCCCUCAAGCACGGCUUGUGUGAUGGGCCCUCCCGCGUCUUGGUCGUCAAGACGGGCCCGAAAUGCAGUGGCGGCUUCGCGGUUAUCCGAUCAGCCAGAGCGUAUGGGGACUUUCUCUCUGUCACACGCCCGCGGCGCGGACCGACGCCUGUUGACCUUUAUUCAUCUUUUUCUCGGUUGACCUCGGAUCAGGUAGGGAUACCCGCUGAACUUAAGC
rnacentral:misc_RNA from 1 species